rnacentral:rRNA from 1 species
CCUACGGGAGGCAGCAGUGGGGAAUCUUGCGCAAUGGGCGAAAGCCUGACGCAGCCAUGCCGCGUGAAUGAUGAAGGUCUUAGGAUUGUAAAAUUCUUUCACCGGGGACGAUAAUGACGGUACCCGGAGAAGAAGCCCCGGCUAACUUCGUGCCAGCAGCCGCGGUAAUACGAAGGGGGCUAGCGUUGCUCGGAAUUACUGGGCGUAAAGGGAGCGUAGGCGGACAUUUAAGUCAGGGGUGAAAUCCCAGAGCUCAACUCUGGAACUGCCUUUGAUACUGGAUGUCUUGAGUGUGAGAGAGGUAUGUGGAACUCCGAGUGUAGAGGUGAAAUUCGUAGAUAUUCGGAAGAACACCAGUGGCGAAGGCGACAUACUGGCUCAUUACUGACGCUGAGGCUCGAAAGCGUGGGGAGCAAACAGGAUUAGAUACCCUGGUAGUCCACGCCGUAAACGAUGAUUGCUAGUUGUCGGGAUGUUUACAUCUCGGUGACGCAGCUACGCAUAAGACAUCCGCCGUCGGGAGGUACGGUCGCGAGAAUAAACUACAAGAGUAGUAGACGCGAGAGACGCGACGACGACGACGAGGAGGAGAGG